rnacentral:rRNA from 1 species
UGGCAUCGAUGAAGAACGCAGCGAAAUGCGAUAAGUAAUGUGAAUUGCAGAAUUCAGUGAAUCAUCGAAUCUUUGAACGCAUAUUGCGCCCAUUAGUAUUCUAGUGGGCAGGACCGUUCGAGCGUCAUUUCGACCCUUAAGCUUUGGUUGCUUAGUGUUGGGAGCCUACGGCAACGUAGCUCCUCAAAGUUAGUGGCGGAGUUGGUUCACACUCUAGACGUAGUAGAUUUUUAUCUCGCCUAUCAGUUGGACCGGUCCCCUGCCGUAAAACCCCCCAACUUCUUAAAGUUGACCUCGAAUCGGUUCAGACAAACUCGCUAAAUUGAAGCAUCUUAGUCAGCGAAGGAAAAGAAACCAACAGGGAUUGCCCUAGUAACGGCGAGUGAAGCGGCAACAGCUCAAAUUUGAAAUCUGGCCCUCGGGUCCGAGUUGUAAUUUGUAGAGGAUGCUUUUGGCGCGGUGCCUUCCGAGUUCCCUGGAACGGGACGCCUUAGAGGGUGAGAGCCCCGUACGGUUGGACACCAAGCCUCUGUAAAGCUCCUUCGACGAGUCGAGUAGCUUGGGAAUGCUGCUCUAAAUGGGAGGUAAAUUUCUUCUAAAGCUAAAUAUUGGCCAGAGACCGAUAGCGCACAAGUAGAGUGAUCGAAAGAUGAAAAGCACUUUGAAAAGAGGGUUAAACAGCACGUGAAAUUGUUGAAAGGGAAGCGUUUGCGACCAGACCUUUUCCUAGCGGAUCAUCCGGUGUUCUCACCGGUGCACUUCGCUAGGUUUAGGCCAGCAUCGGUUUCUGUAGGGGGAUAAAAGCUCUGGGAACGUAGCUCCUCCGGGAGUGUUAUAGCCCUCUGCAUAAUACCCUUACGGGGACCGAGGACCGCGCUCGGCAAGGA